rnacentral:rRNA from 1 species
ACCCGGAAGUUAAGCCUGCCAGCGCCGAUGGUACUGCAGCCGAGAGGCUGUGGGAGAGUAGGACGCCGCCGGAC